GAGGAAUUAAAGGUCGAACAGACCUCCAUAUUUUUCUCAAAAAUGGCCCCUCAAUUCAACAUCGAGGUCGUAAGUCUUUAAAUAACACUAAACUAUUAUCUAAAAUUACGCUGUUAUCCCUAAAGUAACUCUAAAUCUAUAAAAGAUAUAAUAUUUCAUAAAUAUAUGUUUUAUUUAUUAAAGUUUUGUAAUUGCCGCCCCAGCUUAACUAUUUAGAAAUUUCAUUACCUGUUACAUAAAUAAAUCCUCAUAGUAAAGUUUUAUAGGGUCUUAUCGUCUUUUUAGCUCAGCUAUACUUUUUAAUAUAGAUAUCAAUUUCUAGAAAUAAACCUAAAAAGUCAAAAUGUUGUUAACUCUUUCAUCCCAGUUCUCUAUUAUAAAACAAAUGAUUAUGCUACCUUAGCACAGUUAAAAUUCUGCGGCUAUUUACUUCUUUCACUGAGCAGAGUUUACUAAUUAAAAAACUAGAA
rnacentral:rRNA from 1 species